rnacentral:rRNA from 1 species
UUUAAUUGAAGAGUUUGAUCAUGGCUCAGAUUGAACGCUGGCGGCAGGCCUAACACAUGCAAGUCGAGCGGGGUUUUCGGACCUAGCGGCGGACGGGUGAGUAAUGUAUAGGGAGCUGCCCGACAGAGGGGGAUACCAGUUGGAAACGACUGUUAAUACCGCAUAACGUCUACGGACCAAAGUAUGGGACCUUCGGGCCAUAUGCUGUCGGAUGCACCUAUAUGGGAUUAGCUAGUUGGUGGGGUAAUGGCUCACCAAGGCGACGAUCCCUAGCUGGUUUGAGAGGAUGAUCAGCCACACUGGAACUGAGACACGGUCCAGACUCCUAC